AUUGAACGCUGGCGGCAUGCCUUACACAUGCAAGUCGAACGGCAGCACGGGUGCUUGCACCUGGUGGCGAGUGGCGAACGGGUGAGUAAUACAUCGGAACAUGUCCUGUAGUGGGGGAUAGCCCGGCGAAAGCCGGAUUAAUACCGCAUACGAUCUACGGAUGAAAGCGGGGGACCUUCGGGCCUCGCGCUAUAGGGUUGGCCGAUGGCUGAUUAGCUAGUUGGUGGGGUAAAGGCCUACCAAGGCGACGAUCAGUAGCUGGUCUGAGAGGACGACCAGCCACACUGGGACUGAGACACGGCCCAGACUCCUACGGGAGGCAGCAGUGGGGAAUUUUGGGCAAUAGGCGAAAACCUGAUCCAGCAAUGCCGCGUGUGUGAAGAAGGCCUUCGGGUUGUAAAGCACUUUUGUCCGGAAAGAAAUCCUUGGCCCUAAUACGGUCGGGGGAUGACGGUACCGGAAGAAUAAGCACCGGCUAACUACGUG
rnacentral:rRNA from 1 species